rnacentral:rRNA from 1 species
GACGUAGGGCGCGAGCGUUGUCCGGAUUUAUUGGGCGUAAAGAGCUCGUAGGCGGUCUGUCGCGUCUGCUGUGAAAUCCCGGGGCUCAACCCCGGGCUUGCAGUGGAUACGGGCAGACUAGAGUUCGGUAGGGGAGACUGGAAUUCCUGGUGUAGCGGUGAAAUGCGCAGAUAUCAGGAGGAACACCGGUGGCGAAGGCGGGUCUCUGGGCCGAUACUGACGCUGAGGAGCGAAAGCGUGGGGAGCGAACAGG